UAUCACAAUAUAACAACGCAAUAUGCAACAAGAGUUUCCCUGCUGUUCUACAGCAGCACCAGCUGAUCAUCAAAUGCUUUCCCCAAGAGGAGGCCAGGAACACUUCCCUUUCAUCCGUCCUGGAGUUGUUUAUAAGAUGGCGAAUUCCAUUCUGCGCUGGAGCCACUGGAGUCUUUAGGAGAGCCAGCCUGAGAACUCAGGACAAAGCUGAAAUAUUGAAAAUGCCCAGAUUCAGUAGAAGCAAGCCCUUUCCCCAUUGCUGCCCUGUCAUCAAAAACAACAAGGAGUCUGGUGGCACCUUAAAGACUAACAGAUUUAUAUGGGCAUAAGCUUUCGUGAGUAAAAACCUCACUUCUUCGGA